CCUACGGGAGGCAGCAGUGAGGAAUAUUGGUCAAUGGUCGGGAGACUGAACCAGCCAAGCCGCGUGAGGGAUGAAGGUACAGAGUAUCGUAAACCUCUUUUGUCAGGGAACAAAGGCGGGGACGUGUCCCCGGAUGAGUGUACCUGAAGAAAAAGCAUCGGCUAACUCCGUGCCAGCAGCCGCGGUAAUACGGAGGAUGCGAGCGUUAUCCGGAUUUAUUGGGUUUAAAGGGUGCGCAGGCGGUCUGUUAAGUCAGCGGUAAAAGCCCGGGGCUCAACCCCGGCCCGCCGUUGAAACUGGCAGUCUCGAGUUGGAGAGAAGUAUGCGGAAUGCGCGGUGUAGCGGUGAAAUGCAUAGAGAUCGCGCAGAACUGCGAUUGCGAAGGCAGCAUGCCGGCUCCACACUGACGCUGAGGCACGAAAGCGUGGGUAUCGAACAGGAUUAGAUACCCCUGUAGUC
rnacentral:rRNA from 1 species